UUGUUUUAAAACACCAGGCUCUGCAGACAGCAGCCUCCUUGGUAGUGCAUGAAGCCUAUUGCUCAUAUGGGUUGCCCUAAGGGACCUUGAAGAUGACC
rnacentral:snoRNA from 1 species